rnacentral:misc_RNA from 1 species
GAAAUGCGAUAAGUAGUGUGAAUUGCAGAAUUCAGUGAAUCAUCGAAUCUUUGAACGCACAUUGCGCUUCCUGGCAUUCCGGGGAGCAUGCCCGUUUCAGAAUCAUAAGACUCUCACGGCCUGCGUGGUGUGGAAUUCUUUCACCCCAUUGCAGAAUCGUGGAUCUGGACGUUUUUGUGUGCGCCUGCCGCUCGCAACCGUCUGAAAGUGAUUGUAUGCAUCCCAUUGCGCCGAUCGAUGCCCUUCCAGUGCAACAGAUUAGCUUCUCACCCACUGUAAGACAGAGCGUCGGGUGCGGCCGGUGGACGGUGACAUACCCAAACCCAAAACCUUUGCGGGACGAGCACUCUGCUGUCAAACGGCAAGAGGGCAGACUCUCUCAAAACACUUGGUCUGAAAU